UCACACCAUCACCCCUCUCUUAGCCCCAUUUGGGAUAUCUCAAGCACACCACUGAUAACGUUCAUAUAAUGAAAUAGUUUUCAGCUUUCCCACAUCAGUGAAAAAGGAGUACAUUCAUUGCAAUUUCUUUUUACAUUGAAAUCAUAUGGAACAACUAUGGAGUUCUCUGUCAUGCCCUGCCUUUGAGAAUAUGGAAGCAAACAAAUUUCCUUGGGUGGAAAGAAAAUGAAAGAAUCAAAUUUUUCUAUAUGAGUUAAUCACAUUGAUUUCUAUGUUCUCAUCCUAAAAUUUUUAUGGGUGGUAUUCUACAGAAAAAAAAAUAUAUGUAGUCAGAGAAGCAACAUUAUGAAACAAAAGCUUAACUUUAGGUUUAGACCAUCCAGUCUAUUAGAGCCACUAGCUUGUAAGAGGGACCUUAACUAUGAUAAACUAGCCUUUUGUUAUUAGGAAUGUGUCUGGAUGUGCACUUGUGUAUAUAUGCAAU